rnacentral:lncRNA from 1 species
AGUAUCGGAUUGGUUUGCGGAUCAUUAUAUUUAUCUUGUGCACAUGACCUGUAGUUACAUUGCAUAUGCUUUAAUACAUGUUAUCGUGACUUUAUGCAUGUUGUUACCUACUGAGCUGUUGUAGCUCAUACCUGUUUUUGACAUAAUUGCAGGAGAUGAUUGAUGGGGGAUUCGGGAGGAGAGGACUUAUGACACUGGACAUAGAUAGAUUUAGAUUCAUUUUGCAUAAGUAAUUGAUCUUGUAAAUAAUAUUAUCAACUUUAUUUGAGACAUUUGAAAUUGAAUUAUUGAUUUGAUUAUCAUAAAUGAUAGAUUUUUAGUAUUGAUAUUGUGAUCUGAUGUUGUGACUUGAGUGUCUGAUUAUUCAGCCUUGCACGCCCGUGCGGUCCGCCAUGCGGGUGUGCGGCGUCUGGCGCGUCCCGGGGCCUAGGUUCGGAUUCGGGGCUGACAGAUUUAGUGGUAUCAGAGCUUAAGGUUAAGGUAUCCUAGGGUUUAUGUUCAGGUGAGUAUCAGUGGAGAAUUAUGAUAGAAAAACUAUCAGAGAUUUGGUUUAUAAUCA